UACGUAGGGUGCGAGCGUUGUCCGGAAUUAUUGGGCGUAAAGAGCUUGUAGGCGGUUUGUCGCGUCUGCUGUGAAAAUCCGGGGCUCAACCCCGGACUUGCAGUGGGUACGGGCAGACUAGAGUGUGGUAGGGGAGACUGGAAUUCCUGGUGUAGCGGUGGAAUGCGCAGAUAUCAGGAGGAACACCGGUGGCGAAGGCGGGUCUCUGGGCCGUUACUGACGCUGGAGGAGCGAAAGCGUGGGGAGCGAACAGG
rnacentral:rRNA from 1 species